UACGAAGGGGGCUAGCGUUGUUCGGAAUUACUGGGCGUAAAGCGCGCGCAGGCGGUCCUUCAAGUCAGAGGUGAAAGCCCAGAGCUCAACUCUGGAACGGCCUUUGAGACUAGAGGACUUGGGUACGGGAGAGGUGAGUGGAAUUACGAGUGUAGAGGUGAAAUUCGUAGAUAUUCGGAAGAACACCAGUGGCGAAGGCGGCUCACUGGCCCGUUACCGACGCUCAGACGCGACAGCGUGGGGAGCAAACAGG
rnacentral:rRNA from 1 species